GUGGGGAAUCUUGCGCAAUGGGCGAAAGCCUGACGCAGCCAUGCCGCGUGAAUGAUGAAGGUCUUAGGAUUGUAAAAUUCUUUCACCGGGGACGAUAAUGACGGUACCCGGAGAAGAAGCUCCGGCUAACUUCGUGCCAGCAGCCGCGGUAAUACGAAGGGGGCUAGCGUUGCUCGGAAUUACUGGGCGUAAAGGGCGCGUAGGCGGACAGCUUAGUCAGAGGUGAAAGCACAGGGCUCAACCUUGGAAUUGCCUUUGAUACUGGCUGUCUUGAGUUUGGGAGAGGUGAGUGGAACUCCGAGUGUAGAGGUGAAAUUCGUAGAUAUUCGGAAGAACACCAGUGGCGAAGGCGACUCACUGGCCCAAUACUGACGCUGAGGCGCGAAAGCGUGGGGAGCAAACAGGAUUAGAUACCCGUGUAGUCC
rnacentral:rRNA from 1 species